rnacentral:tRNA from 1 species
CACUGUAUAGCUGCCACAGCAUUAACCUUUUAAGUUAAAGAUAGGGAAGAUAUUUUCCUACAGUGA